rfam:Otolemur garnettii contig175473, whole genome shotgun sequence.
CUAACGGCUCUUUUAAGAGCCACCUAUGUUGUCAAAAGAGAGCUG